UUUGAGCAAAAUGUAUUUCAUUACUUUGGUGGAAUUUUGUUUUUUAAGGUUGUUUUCUUUAAAUUGUGACACAAUGAAUGAAAUUUUUGCGGAAAAAUGUGUUUAGCACCAUAUAUCAUCACCCGAUUGAUGAAAUACAUAGGGAGCACAAAUCAGUUAAUCUGCCUAACUUAAUACCUCUACAAUGGUUCCUGGCAUAAUGAAAAAAGCCCCUUGCCAAAAAUAAGAAGGGCCCACCGGCUAUACCAGUGACUUCACAGAAGGAACCCACUCCAAUCAGAGCAACAUGUGUAUCCCCCCCAAGUACCAAGGAGUCAAGGAGGAAGUCAACAUAUCUGCUAAAUUUUCCUCAGUUGGUACAUAUUCAACAGAUAUUUUCUUGUGUAAUACUAAAUCUUUUAAAUAAUGAUUCUUUAUAUCUA